rnacentral:rRNA from 1 species
GACGAACGCUGGCGGCGUGCCUAACACAUGCAAGUUGAGCGGGAAUGUAUCUUCAGAGAUUUCGAUUGACGAAGAUGCAGGAGAGCAGCGGACGGGUGAGUAACGCGUGAGCAAUCUGCCCUGUGGAGGGGGAUAGCCUCCGGAAACGGAGAUUAAUACCGCAUAACACUGCACUGUCGCAUGAUAGAGCAGUCAAAACUCAGGUGCCACAGGAUGAGCUCGCGUCUCAUUAGCUAGUUGGUAGGGUAAAAGCCUACCAAGGCGACGAUGAGUAGCCGACCUGAGAGGGUGAUCGGCCACACUGGGACUGAGACACGGCCCAGACUCCUACGGGAGGCAGCAGUGGGGAAUAUUGCGCAAUGGGGGGAACCCUGACGCAGCAACGCCGCGUGAAUGAAGAAGGCUUUCGAGUCGUAAAAUUCUGUCCUCAGGGAAGAAGAAGUGACGGUACCUGAGGAGGAAGCCCGGCUAACUACG